UCCCGCAUCUUCCUCCUCACCCCCGAUUCCCCCACCGCCAAAAGCACACCGACGCGCCAUACCGACCCAGGACCCGGCCGCCGCCCCACCCCGCCCCCUCCCCUGACCGAGAUUCGGCCGUCGCGCGGCCCCCACCACCUGUCCCUGUCCGUGCGCUGCCGUGCCGCCACCCCAUCUUGCGGCCUCGCGCACCACCCCAUCUUGCGGCCGCGCGCACCACCCCAUCUGGCGGAGCCACCCCCACCAUGCGGCCUUCGGCGCCUUCCACCACCAGGGGCAUGGCCCUGCUCCGGCGCCCCGCCACCUGUGCAUGGCCUGGAGCCGCUGGCUGUGGCCGGGAUUCUGGGUCCCCAACCCCAACUCCUCCCUGGCCCUACUAGUUCCAGUGCCCCGCCAGACGCUGGUUCCCCAUGUCCACCUGGAGGAGCACAAAAAUCCCCCUUCCACAACUCAUCUCCGUGGUGGAGCUUCACAUGGGACGCGGUGCAGAGCAAACCCUCUACCGUCAUGCGGGUAUGUCCCCAUCAUUUGGACCUGAAGGUGCUCCAUAUGAGCAGCCACAGCAUCACAAAAGCUCUUAAUAUGGACGUGAUGUUGCUCCUUAUGAGCAGCCAUAGAAACAAUCUCUACAGGAAAGGCUUUCACUAAUUUCAUUGCAUAGUCUUGAUAGCUAAAUUCUUCAAAAUAUGUGAAGAGGUGAGGUGCAGUAGCAUUUUGGACAGCCGCAGUUCAUGCAGAUACGAGGUGAGACCCGAGCAUGGAGAGAGUGAGGAAAGUUCAGACAAUGUGGCCGACUACAUCGUGUGUUCAAAGCAGUUUGUUUCAGCAAAGGUCGAAGUUUGUUGUGUGACUGUGAUCCCACCUUGUAACGUAACAUAUGGUCAUUCACAUGCAUGCCUGGAUUCAGAAUGCCAAGGUGUUAUUUAAGUGCUAGGCCUACUAUUGUGGUCCUAUUGGUUCAUUAGACUGGGACUGAACACAUGCAUCAGAACCAUGAAAGUGUAUGACUAACUGAUUGUUCACAAAUUGUGGACACAGUGACGCUUGGGAUCGGCGGCUUCAGCAUGGGUGUAGCAGCCGCCCUACACUCGGCAGCAUGCUACGCCCACGGAAAAUUCAGCAGUGGCACCCCCUACCAGAUCAUGCUCAGUGCAAUCGUCAGCUUGAGUCGCUGGCUCCCUUGCUCAAGGAUGCUGAUGGGCAAGAUGGAGGGCUCACACAUGGCUGUAAGAAGAGCCGCCUCCCUGCCCAUCCUUCUCAACCAUGGCAGAGGUAAUAAAACAACCGAGUGCAGCGGACGAGUUCGUACCCUGUAGGAAUGGCGAGCGGUUGAUGGAGUUCCUGCGGUCCUUGGGCUUCUCCUAUGUGAGUUUCAAGUCCUACAACGGGUUGGGACACUACACCAUUCUCGAAGAAAUGGAUGACGGGUUGGGACACUACACCAUUCUCGAAGAAAUGGAUGACUUGUGCAAGUGGCUCAGCUCGCGGCUCAGCAUCGACCGAUCUUGGUAAAGAAAACAGCCAGCGCUUCUGCCAUUAUGCAUGUUCGCGCGACAUGGUGGCUCCCCUAGUACUAGCAAUAUAGCAGAGUACUACAGAGAGGUGAAUGCGGAUGCAACUAUUCUCAGCUCGAGCUCAUAUGCUCUUCAAUGAACAGUAAAAUAAAAAAUAUAGUAAAAGAAAUAAAAAAAAUCCUGAAA